GCGCCUGACGGUGAGGGACGAAAGCCAGGGGAGCGAACCGGAUUAGAUACCCGGGUAUUCCUGGCCGUAAACGAUGCAUACUAGGCAAUGGUGCGGCUAUGAGCCGCAUCAGUACCGUAGGGAAACCGUUAAGUGUGCCGCCUGGGAAGUACGGUCGCAAGGCUAAAACUUAAAGGAAUUGGCGGGGGAGCACCACAAGGGGUGAAGCCUGCGGUUCAAUUGGACUCAACGCCGGGAAACUUACCAGGGGAGACAGCAGAAUGACAGUCAGGUUGACGACCUUACCCGACGAGCUGAGAGGAGGUGCAUGGCCGUCGCCAGUUCGUGCUGUGAGGUAUCCCGUUAAGUCAGGCAACGAACGAGAUCCGCGCCUUUAUUUGCCAUCAAGAAGUCACGACUUUGUUGGGAACACUAAAGGGACCGCCGUCGAUAAGACGGAGGAAGGAGCGGGCAAAGGCAGGUCAGUAUGCCCCGAAACCCCUGGGCUACACGCGGGCUGCAAUGGUGCGAACAAUGGGCUGUAACUCCGAAAGGAGAAACCAAUCCCGAAAUCGCAUCUCAGUGGGGAUUGUCGACUGUAACUCGUUGACAUGAACGUGGAAUCCCUAGUAAUCGCGUGUCACCAUCGCGCGGUGA
rnacentral:rRNA from 1 species